rnacentral:rRNA from 1 species
CCUACGGGUGGCAGCAGUCGAGAAUCUUUCACAAUGGGGGAAACCCUGAUGGUGCGACGCCGCGUGGGGGAAUGAAGGUCUUCGGAUUGUAAACUCCUGUCAUGUGGGAGCAAAUUAAAAAGAUAGUACCACAAGAGGAAGAGACGGCUAACUCUGUGCCAGCAGCCGCGGUAAUACAGAGGUCUCAAGCGUUGUUCGGAAUCACUGGGCGUAAAGUGUGCGUAGGCUGUUUCGUAAGUCGUGUGUGAAAGGCGCGGGCUCAACCCGCGGACGGCACGUGAUACUGCGAGACUAGAGUGAUGGAGGGGGAACCGGAAUGCUCGGUGUAGCAGUGAAAUGCGUAGAUAUCGGGAGGAACACUCGUGGCGAAGGCGGGUUCCUGGACAUUAACUGACGCUGAGGCACGAAGGCCAGGGGAGCGAAAGGGAUUAGAUACCCGAGUAGUC